GACGAACCGUGCGAACGUUGUUCGGAAUCACUGGGCUUAAAGGGCGCGUAGGCGGGCCGGCAAGUCAGGGGUGAAAUCCCACGGCUCAACCGUGGAAGUGCCCUUGAUACUGCCGGUCUGGAGGGAGGUAGGGGCGUGCGGAACUUCCGGUGGAGCGGUGAAAUGCGUAGAUAUCGGAAGGAACACCGGUGGCGAAAGCGGCGCGCUGGACCUCUACUGACGCUGAGGCGCGAAAGCCAGGGGAGCAAACGGG
rnacentral:rRNA from 1 species